CUGGCUGGCUCUUCAUGUGUCAAAAGGAGACAAUUUACUUAUUACUGGCACAGAAUCAUGAAAAUAAGGUUUACAAAAUCAUCAUUAAAAUAUAUAAAAUACUGAAAACUAAAUACAAACAAAGGUGUGGAGCGUUCUUUUCUGCAGUCCUUUUCAUUUUUUUCCAGUUCUUCUAGCUUUAUUAACUUUAAGCUUUUCUCCGUAUUUUUUAAUGAGGAGAAAACAGUGAAUACCUCAGGAUCCAUAGAGCACAGCACACAUCUCCUUGUCAACUACUAACAAGAGCUAGACUGGGUACCAAGUGGACAUAGUUCAACAUCUA
rnacentral:lncRNA from 1 species